rnacentral:lncRNA from 1 species
GGAAUUUCUCUUGAGUCUUCGUGACCUGACCGUUAUACUGUACUGAUAAGCAUGUUGUGUUAGACCAAGGUAAUGUUCCCUUAAAAGGACAUAAAAUAAAAAAACUAGCUGUCCUUGUGCAACUGAGGAAGGGCCACCUGCCUGAUCUGCUUUCCUAUCACCCCAUCCCCGCCCUUCUUGCGGUUUUUGUGCUUAAAUUCAGAGCGCUUAGUCUGUGAGGCGCGCAUUCUCGGGAUCGAUUCCAAGAGUCUGCGUCAGCCAGGCCUGAAAUAAACGCCUUUGCCUCCCAAAUUUGGAGUCUCCGAGUCUUGGCUUCCCACGGGGGUUAUGAGACCACCACAAUCCACACCUUUUAAAACCCUGAAAUGAAAGAAUGAACUCAGAGAUCCUCUAGUUUAUCAGAGAGGAAAGUUAGGUUCACUUCAGCUGCAAAUGAGGAAAACCAUCAGAAAAGCGAUGAUUUAAAUGAUACAGAAAACAUUUUCUUCCUCAUGCAAAAACACGGAACAGAUUUAAUGGAGGGAAGAGAAGACAAAAACAAGUGGGAAGAAGAGAGAAUGGUGGAAGUAGAAUAAGUGAACUGAAUAAGAGGGAAGCGAAACUGUCAGCUUGUCUUCAGCAUUAUAUAAAGGCAGAUCUCCGAGAUGCAAUUUUCUCCCUUAUAAGGUGGUAAGAUUUGGCUGUUGAGAAAAUGAAAUGUGACUACCCCGGACUUCAAUGUUAAGGUGAAGUAUAAAACA